AACGUACGCUGGCGGCACGCCUAACACAUGCAAGUCGAACGAAGUAGCAAUACUUAGUGGCAGACGGGUGAGUAACAUGUAGGUAUCUGCCCUUUGGCCUGGAAUAACACGAGGAAACUUGUGCUAAUACCGGAUAAGUCUUUACGGAGAAAGCUUUAUGCACCAUUGGAUGAGCCUGCACUUGAUUAGUUUGUUGGUGGGGUAAUGGCCUACCAAGACUGUGAUCAAUAGCUGAUUUGAGAGGAUGAUCAGCCACAUUGGGACUGAGACACGGCCCAAACUCCUACGGGAGGCAGCAGUGGGGAAUCUUGCACAAUGGAGGAAACUCUGAUGCAGCGAUGCCGCGUGAGUGAAGAAGGCCCUUGGGUUGUAAAGCUCUUUCGUCGGGGAAGAAAAUGACUGUACCCGAAUAAGAAGGUCCGGCUAACUUCGUGCCAGCAGCCGCGGUAAUACGAAGGGACCUAGCGUAGUUCGGAAUUACUGGGCUUAAAGAGUUCGUAGGUGGUUGAAAAAGUUAGUGGUGAAAUCCCAGAGCUUAACUCUGGAACUGCCAUUAAAACUUUUCAGCUAGAGUAUGAUAGAGGAAAGCAGAAUUUCUAGUGUAGAGGUGAAAUUCGUAGAUAUUAGAAAGAAUACCAAUUGCGAAGGCAGCUUCUGGAUCAUUACUGA
rnacentral:rRNA from 1 species